rnacentral:lncRNA from 10 species
CUGGCUGGGACAGCUGGGUAUUGAGACUGAAGAGACAGCCCACCUCUCCUUCUGCCCAGAAAGUGAAAAUGCCUGAGAAGGCGCUGGGAGUGACUGGGGACAGCCAGAUGAAGGUCCAGUUCUGGUGUCGGGUCCCUGAGGAGGGAGCUCUGUGGACUGGCUCCGUAGCACAUGCUCCUGGGGCUUGCCUGGCACCGGUGCAGGGAUCAAGAAAGAAGUAAUGCAUGACUCUGAUUUGCGGCUGCAGGAUAAAUCCGAACUAUUUCAGGGAGAUGUCAUGGAGAGCUCAUCUCUCAGCAUCAAAGUUGCCUCUCCUGACUUUUGAAUUUUAAGUGUUCUGUGUGGAAGAAAAAUGGAGACAACAAAUUUCUAUGCAUGGAUUCAAAGAAUCCUCGUAAUAUACAGACUACAUUCUCCCCAGCUUUUUAUCUCUAUAUAUUCUUUUUGUUGAGUUUCAACCACAUAGGGUUGAAAUUCACCUUCCCACAUUACAUUUUUCAUCAAUAGUUGAAGACCUAUGUAUGUAAAUAUCAGGAACUAUCAGAACUCCCUGCAACAGGAAACCUGACCCCCAACUCCCCCGAAAUGCAUCAUGAUAAACAGUCACUUGCCAAAAUAACAAAUCAGCUUCCUGGAACAUGCUUGCUCAAAACCAGGAGAGGAGCUUAGAGACGUCAGCUUGACUUCUGCCUCGUACGCAGGAAGGGUGACCUUCAAAGAUCAAACAUCGUCCCAAAUCUCCCUUCAUCUUGUAGUACUCCUGCUUGUCGUAGCUCCUGUUACCAUCAGGUACUGGGCCAACCAUCCGUCAUGUCAGAAGAGAGUUGGGGACAAUCCCUGGAUUAUUUCACCUUUGCCCUGCUGGUAUAGACAAUGUGUGUUAUGGCUGGGUGACUUGCUGACUUUUACUCUGAGCAACAGCUUUGUCAGAGUAAACUAAAACAGAGACUUCAGAGCAUAAUAAAAUAUGACAUUUUUUCUGUAUAGAACUAAAGACACGGGGGAGAGAGAACAACUUAAUUAAAAAGACAGUGCCCUUUCAGUGUCUUUUUUUUUUUUUUUUUUUUUUUUUUUUUGAGAUGGAGUCUUGCUCCGUCGCCAGGCUGGAGUGCAGUGGCGUGAUCUGGGCUCACUGCAACCUCCACCUCCCGAGUUCAAGUGAUUCUCCUGCCUCAGCCUCCCAAGUAGCUGGGACUACAGGCACGUGCCACCACACCCAGCUAAUUUUUUUUGUAUUUUUAGUAGAGACAGGGUUUUACCGUGUUGGCCAGGAUGGUCUCGAUCUCUUGACUUUGUGAUCUGCCCUUCUCUGCCUCCCAAAGUGCUGGGAUUACAGGCGUGAGAGUUUGUAUUAAUAAAAUAAGAGGAAC